GAGAGAGGCCAGAUCGCAACAAAGACUGCUAAUCUUUAUUACCCCGGUUAAACUCCGGGGCUCACUCA
rnacentral:tRNA from 1 species